GUAACGCGUGGGUAACCUGCCUUACACUGGGGGAGUAACAGUUAGAAAUGACUGCUAAUACCGCAUAAGCGCACAGGGCCGCAUGGUCUGGUGUGAAAAACUCCGGUGGUGUAAGAUGGACCCGCGUCUGAUUAGGUAGUUGGUGGGGUAACGGCCCACCAAGCCGACGAUCAGUAGCCGACCUGAGAGGGUGACCGGCCACAUUGGGACUGAGACACGGCCCAAACUCCUACGGGAGGCAGCAUG
rnacentral:rRNA from 1 species